GUACUCCCAUCUUAGCAUCUAAGAAAGCAAAGAAACAAAAAGUAAAUGAAGUUGAAGUCAAAUCCAAGGGUGAAAAACCACAAGAUAUGAAAAAUUUUGAGACAUUGGUUGGCCUCAUGCUGAGUACAUCAAGAGCACACCCUAUAAACUUCCCAGAUGAUGUUUUUGGUGAGAGUUGCAAGACCUUCAUGAUGAAAGAAGAUAUGGAAAUGAUAAUAUCAUUAAAAGAAGUGUCAUCCAAUUGUAUUUUAUACUACAUCUGGCAUUUGCAUAGAAAGUUGAUUGAUGCAAAGCAGGCCGAACGAUAUGUUUUUGUCAAUCA